rnacentral:rRNA from 1 species
GGUAGUCCAUGCUGUAAACGGUGGGCGUUAGGUGUGGGGACCGGUUUGGUUUNUGUGCCGUAGCUAACGCAUUAAGCGCCCCGCCUGGGGAGUACGGCCGCAAGGCUAAAACUCAAAGGAAUUGACGGGGGCCCGCACAAGCGGCGGAGCAUGUGGAUUAAUUCGAUGCAACGCGAAGAACCUUACCUGGGUUUGACAUGCACCAGACGGUUGUAGAGAUACGUACCUCCCUUUGUGGUUGGUGUGCAGGUGGUGCAUGGUUGUCGUCAGCUCGUGUCGUGAGAUGUUGGGUUAAGUCCCGCAACGAGCGCAACCCUUGUCUUAUGUUGCCAGCACUUUGGGUGGGGACUCAUGAGAGACUGCCGGGGUUAACUCGGAGGAAGGUGGGGAUGACGUCAAAUCAUCAUGCCCUUUAUGCCCAGGGCUUCACACAUGCUACAAUGGAUAGUACAACGCGCUGCGAGCCUGUGAGGGUGAGCGAAUCGCUGAAAGCUAAUCUCAGUUCGGAUUGGGGUCUGCAACUCGACCCCAUGAAGUCGGAGUCGCUAGUAAUCGCAGAUCAGCAAUGNUGCGGUGAAUACGUU